rnacentral:rRNA from 1 species
CCUACGGGUGGCAGCAGUGGGGAAUAUUGCGCAAUGGGCGAAAGCCUGACGCAGCGACGCCGCGUGAGGGAUGAAGGUCUUCGGAUCGUAAACCUCUGUCAGCAGGGAAGAACGGUCACUGUGCUAAUCAGCAGUGAAUUGACGGUACCUGCAAAGGAAGCACCGGCUAACUCCGUGCCAGCAGCCGCGGUAAUACGUAGGAGGCGAGCGUUAUCCGGAAUGACUGGGCGUAAAGGGUGCGUAGGUGGUUUGGCAAGUUAGUAGCGUAACUCCAAGGCUCAACCUUGGAACUACUACUAAAACUGUUGGACUUGAGUGCAGGAGGGGCAACCGGAAUUCCUAGUGUAGCGGUGGAAUGCGUAGAUAUUAGGAGGAACACCAGUGGCGAAGGCGGGUUGCUAGACUGUAACUGACACUGAGGCACGAAAGCGUGGGGAGCAAACAGGAUUAGAUACCCGGUAGUC